rnacentral:rRNA from 1 species
AGACUUUGAUUAUGGCUCAGAUUGAACGCUGGCGGCAGGCCUAACACAUGCAAGUCGAGCGGUAGCACAGAGAAGCUUGCUUCUUGGGUGACGAGCGGCGGACGGGUGAGUAACGCGUGGGAAUCUACCUGGUAGUGGGGGACAACAGUCGGAAACGACUGCUAAUACCGCAUACGCCCUUCGGGGGAAAGUGGGGGAUCUUCGGACCUCACGCUAUCAGAUGAGCCCGCGUCGGAUUAGCUUGUUGGUGAGGUAAAGGCUCACCAAGGCGAUGAUCCGUAGCUGGUCUGAGAGGAUGACCAGCCACACUGGGACUGAGACACGGCCCAGACUCCUACGGGAGGCAGCAGUGGGGAAUAUUGGGCAAUGGGGGCAACCCUGAUCCAGCCAUGCCGCGUGUGUGAAGAAGGCCUUCGGGUUGUCACAAGCACUUUCAGCUGUGACGGAAAGGCGAGUGGUUAAUACCCGCUUGCUGUGACGUUACAGCNGAAGAAGGACCGGCUAACUCCGUGCCAGCAGCCGCGGUAAUACGGAGGGUCCGAGCGUUAAUCGGAAUUACUGGGCGUAAAGCGCGCGUAGGUGGUUCAGUCAGUCAGAUGUGAAAGCCCCGG